rnacentral:lncRNA from 1 species
UGCCUAGCUUGUUUGUAGGCUUACAUUAUAUUGUCUCAUGAGCUUGAUUUUAAACUUCAGGCUCGCAUGGUGCUUGUAAAUAAUCUCUCAUGAUUAUUUAGCUUGGUCAAUGAUCAUUAAAUUCGAACAUCGCCAAUUCUAUUUUCAUUUUCUAAACUCAUAAUGAAGCAAUUUUACUAUUGCACUUGUUGUUACAAGGC